rnacentral:rRNA from 1 species
UACAGAGGUCUCAACCGUUGUUCGGAUUCAUUGGGCGUAAAGGGUGCGUAGGCGGUCGCGCAAGUCGGAUGUGAAAUCUUGGGGCUCAACCCUGAAACUGCAUUCGAUACUGCGUGGCUCGAGUACUGGAGAGGAGACUGGAAUUUACGGUGUAGCAGUGAAAUGCGUAGAUAUCGUAAGGAAGGCCAGUGGCGAAGGCGAGUCUCUGGACAGUUACUGACGCUGAGGCACGAAGGCCAGGGGAGCAAACGGG